UACAGAGGUCCCAAGCGUUGUUCGGAUUCAUUGGCGUAAAGGGUGUGUAGGUGGCGCCGUAAGUCGGGUGUGAAAUUUCGGAGCUUAACUCCGAAACUGCAUUCGAUACUGCGGUGCUUGAGGACUGGAGAGGAGACUGGAAUUCAUGGUGUAGCAGUGAAAUGCGUAGAGAUCAUGAGGAAGACCAGUGGCGAAGGCGGGUCUCUGGACAGUUCUGACACUGAGACACGAAGGCCAGGGGAGCAAAACGGG
rnacentral:rRNA from 1 species